rnacentral:rRNA from 1 species
UACGUAGGGUGCGAGCGUUGUCCGGAAUUAUUGGGCGUAAAGAGCUCGUAGGCGGUCUGUCGCGUCGAUCGUGAAAACUUGGGGCUUAACCCUGAGCUUGCGGUCGAUACGGGCAUGACUGGAGUUCGGCAGGGGAGACUGGAAUUCCUGGUGUAGCGGUGAAAUGCGCAGAUAUCAGGAGGAACACCGGUGGCGAAGGCGGGUCUCUGGGCCGAAUGACUGACGUGAGGAGCGAAAGCUGGGGAGCGAACAGG